AACGCUAGCUACAGGCUUAACACAUGCAAGUCGAGGGGCAGCAUGAACUUAGCUUGCUAAGUUUGAUGGCGACCGGCGCACGGGUGAGUAACGCGUAUCCAACCCUCCGUACACUCAGGAAUAGCCUUUCGAAAGAAAGAUUAAUACCUGAUGGUAUGAUGAGAUUGCAUGAAAUCAUCAUUAAAGAUUCAUCGGUGUACGAUGGGGAUGCGUUCCAUUAGAUAGUAGGCGGGGUAACGGCCCACCUAGUCGACGAUGGAUAGGGGUUCUGAGAGGAAGGUCCCCCACAUUGGAACUGAGACACGGUCCAAACUCCUACGGGAGGCAGCAGUGAGGAAUAUUGGUCAAUGGGCGCGAGCCUGAACCAGCCAAGUAGCGUGAAGGAUGAAGGUCCUACGGAUUGUAAACUUCUUUUAUAAGGGAAUAAAGUCACCUACGUGUAGGUGUUUGUAUGUACCUUAUGAAUAAGCAUCGGCUAACUCCGUGCCAGCAGCCGCGGUAAUACGGAGGAUGCGAGCGUUAUCCGGAUUUAUUGGGUUUAAAGGGAGCGUAGACGGGUCGUUAAGUCAGCUGUGAAAGUUUGAGGCUCAACCUUAAAAUUGCAGUUGAUACUGGCGUCCUUGAGUACGGUUGAGGCAGGCGGAAUUCGUGGUGUAGCGGUGAAAUGCAUAGAUAUCACGAAGAACUCCGAUUG
rnacentral:rRNA from 1 species